rnacentral:rRNA from 1 species
UAAUACCGCAUACGACCUAAGGGUGAAAGCGGGGGACUCGCAAGGGCCUCGCGCUAUUGGAGCGGCCGAUGUCAGAUUAGCUAGUUGGUGGGGUAAAAGCCUACCAAGGCGACGAUCUGUAGCUGGUCUGAGAGGACGACCAGCCACACUGGGACUGAGACACGGCCCAGACUCCUACGGGAGGCAGCAGUGGGGAAUUUUGGACAAUGGGCGCAAGCCUGAUCCAGCCAUGCCGCGUGCGGGAAGAAGGCCUUCGGGUUGUAAACCGCUUUUGUCAGGGAAGAAACGCUCUGGGCUAAUACCCUGGGGUAAUGACGGUACCUGAAGAAUAAGCACCGGCUAACUACGUGCCAGCAGCCGCGGUAAUACGUAGGGUGCAAGCGUUAAUCGGAAUUACUGGGCGUAAAGCGUGCGCAGGCGGUUAUGCAAGACAGAUGUGAAAUCCCCGGGCUCAACCUGGGAACUGCAUUUGUGACUGCAUAGCUGGAGUACGGUAGAGGGGGAUGGAAUUCCGCGUGUAGCAGUGAAAUGCGUAGAUAUGCGGAGGAACACCGAUGGCGAAGGCAAUCCCCUGGACCGGUACUGACGCUCAAGCACGAAAGCCUGGGGAGCAAACAGGAUUAGAUACCCUGGCAGUCC